rnacentral:rRNA from 1 species
CGCUGGCGGCGUGCUUCAGACAUGCAAGAUCAAACGGGUGACUCGGACUUGCUCGAGUCGCUAGUGGCGGAUUGCUCAGUAACGCGUAGGUGACCUGCCCCGAAGUGGGGAAUAACUGCCCGAAAGGGUGGCUAAUACCGCAUGUGGUGGUGUGUUCAAGCUCACCAGUAAAGCCGCAAGGCGCUUCGGGAGGGGCCUGCGUCCGAUUAGCUCGUUGGUGGGGUAACGGCUCACCAAGGCGACGAUCGGUAGGUGGUCUGAGAGGACGAUCACCCAGACUGGGACUGAGACACGGCCCAGACUCCUACGGGAGGCAGCAGUGGG